UACGUAGGGUGCAAGCGUUGUCCGGAAUUAUUGGGCGUAAAGAGCGUGUAGGCGGCUCGACAAGUCUGCUGUGAAAGUCUAGGGCUCAACCCUGGAAUGCCGGUGGAUACUGUCGAGCUAGAGUCCGGAAGGGGCGAGUGGAACUCCUGGUGUAGCGGUGAAAUGCGCAGAUAUCAGGAAGAACACCAAUGGCGAAGGCAGCUCGCUGGGACGUGACUGACGCUGAGACGCGAAAGCGUGGGGAGCGAACAGG
rnacentral:rRNA from 1 species